UACGGGAGGCAGCAGUGGGGAAUAUUGCACAAUGGGCGCAAGCCUGAUGCAGCCAUGCCGCGUGUAUGAAGAAGGCCUUCGGGUUGUAAAGUACUUUCAGUCGUGAGGAAGGUGUUAAGGUUAAUAACCUUAGCAAUUGACGUUAGCGACAGAAGAAGCACCGGCUAACUCCGUGCCAGCAGCCGCGGUAAUACGGAGGGUGCGAGCGUUAAUCGGAAUUACUGGGCGUAAAGGGCACGCAGGCGGUUAAUUAAGUUGGAUGUAAAUCCCCGGGCUUAACCUGGGAAUGGCAUUCAAGACUGGUUAGCUAGAGUCUUGUAGAGGGGGUAGAAUUCCAUGUGUAGCGGUGAAAUGCGUAGAGAUGUGGAGGAAUACCGGUGGCGAAGGCGGCCCCUGGACAAAGACUGACGCUCAUGUGCGAAAGCGUGGGGAGCAAACGAGGGAUUAGAUACC
rnacentral:rRNA from 1 species